UACGUAGGGGGCUAGCGUUGUCCGGAAUCAUUGGGCGUAAAGCGCGUGUAGGCGGUCCGGUAAGUCCGCUGUGAAAGUCGGGGGCUCAACCCUCGAAUGCCGGUGGAUACUGUCGGGCUAGAGUGCGGAAGAGGCGAGUGGAAUUCCCAGUGUAGAGGUGAAAUUCGUAGAUAUUGGGAGGAACACCAGAGGCGAAGGCGGCGACCUGGAAGGUAACUGACACUGAGCAGCGAAAGCGUGGGGAGCAAACAG
rnacentral:rRNA from 1 species